UACGUAGGGAGCAAGCGUUGUUCGGAAUUACUGGGCGUAAAGGGCUCGUAGGCGGCCAACUAAGUCGGAUGUGAAAUCCCCAGGCUCAACCUGGGAACUGCAUCCGAUACUGGAUGGCUUGAAUCCGGGAGAGGGAUGCAGAAUUCCGGGUGUAGCGGUGAAAUGCGUAGAUAUCUGGAGGAAUACCGGUGGCGAAGGCGGCAUCCUGGACCGGCAUUGACGCUGAGGAGCGAAAGCCAGGGGAGCAAACGGG
rnacentral:rRNA from 1 species